UACAGGGGGGGCAAGCGUUGUUCGGAAUUACUGGGCGUAAAGGGCCAGUAGGCGGCCAACUAAGUCCGACGUGAAAUCCCCAAGCUUAACUUGGGAACUGCGUCGGAUACUGGAUGGCUUGAAUUCGGGAGAGGGAUGCAGAAUUCCAGGCGUAGCGGUGAAAUGCGUAGAGAUCAUGAGGAAGACCAGUGGCGAAGGCGGGUCUCUGGACAGUUCCUGACACUGAGGCACGAAGGCCAGGGGAGCAAACGGG
rnacentral:rRNA from 1 species